rnacentral:rRNA from 1 species
UCCAGCAGCCAUAUCACCCUGCAACUCACAACUGGUAACCCACUGAAGCUAAGGUGUGAGCCUGAUCAGUACCUGGAUGGGAGACCUCCUGGAAAAAACUAAGGUUGCUGCUGGAA